rnacentral:rRNA from 1 species
AACAAACGCUGGCGGCGUGCCUAAUACAUGCAAGUCGAACGGGGAAAGCUUUCGGGUGAGUACUAGUGGCGCACGGGUGAGGAACGCGUGGAUAAUCUGCCUUAGAGUGGGGGAUAACUAGUCGAAAGAUUAGCUAAUACCGCAUAAGACCACAGGAGCUGCGGCUCUAGGGGUCAAAGGUUUUUCGCUCUAAGAUGAGUCCGCGUAAGUUUAGCUAGUUGGUGAGGGAACGGCUCACCAAGGCGACGAUCUUUAACUGGUCUGAGAGGAUGAUCAGGCGCAAUGGAACUGAGACACGGUCCAGACUCCUACGGGAGGCAGCAGUAGGGAAUAUUGCACAAUGGAGGAAACUCUGAUGCAGCGACGCCGCGUGAGUGAUGAAGGCCUUCGGGUCGUAAAGCUCUGUCGCAGGGGAAUAACACAAUGAAUGUACCCUGUAAGAAAGGAUCGGCUAACUUCGUGCCAGCAGCCGCCGUAACAC